AACGAACGCUGGCGGCAUGCCUAACACAUGCCAGUCGAACGAGACCUUCGGGUCUAGUUGCGCACGGGUGCGUAACGCGUGGUAACCUGCCCUUAGGUUCGGAAUAACUCCCCGAAAGGUGUGCUAAUACCAGAUAAUGUCUUCGGACCAACGAUUUAUCGCCUUUGGGUGGGCCCGCGUUGGAUUAGCUGGUUGGUAGGGUAAAAGCCUACCAAGGCGACGAUCCAUAGCUGGUCUGAGAGGAUGAUCAGCCACACUGGGACUGAGACACGGCCCAGAAUCCUACGGGAGGCAGCAGUGGGGAAUAUUGGACAAUGGGCGAAAGCCUGAUCAAGCAAUGCCGCGUGAGUGAUGAAGGCCUUAGGGUUGUAAAGCUCUUUUACACGGGAUGAUAAUGACAGUACCGGGAGAAUAAGCUCCGGCUAACUACGUG
rnacentral:rRNA from 1 species